GUUGUAGCUUCCUCUCUCAUCUCGUAGUGCUACAAU
rfam:Neisseria wadsworthii 9715 genomic scaffold SCAFFOLD1, whole genome shotgun sequence.